AUGUUGUUUCCUCUGACACAUUGUUGUGGAUGGCUUCCAGGUUAAGCAGGCAUUGUGUCAAGAAGCAGUGCAGCUUGGUUGGGUUGUGAUUCGAAGGACGCACAACCUUUGCAUCUCCUGAGUCCGUAAGGGAGUUGCAGCGAUGAGACAAGACGGUUACUACCAAUUGGAUACCACAAAAUUGUGGGGGAAAAUUGGUACAAAAUUAAAUAGAAUUAAACAAAGUAUCUGUCAUUAAAAAUAAAUCAUAUAUACAUUUUAGGACCUUCCUCUGACACCACGUGGUGUCCUUGAUGGCUGGUUAUACUGUUACAUUGAUGCGGUUGACCUGGAUCACUGGUUGCUGUGGAAAAUGAGGAGGUCAAAAGGAGGUUGUUCCCCUUGCUCUGCAGGGAACGUGGCUUUUGUGGAGCGAUGGCUAACGAUGCUUCUUGGGAAGCAGUUGUUGAAAGAGGGUCCUUUAUUCGAGCCCAAAUAGAGUCGAGGAGAGGGACGGAAGUGAAACUGUUACAUUACAAUCACGUCUGGCAGUGAUUACAGCUGUGAGUCUUUCUGGGUUAUUGACCUGCUGACCUGCUGUCUUUUGAAAAUCAGACUGAACCAGGUUUUUCUCUACAGUUUUGUCUGUGCUUAGCUUUAUUCCAUUUAUUUUCAUCAUAAAACACUUGAUGACAAGUAUACCCGUAACAUAUUGCAGCCAUCACCAUGCUUGAAAAUAUGAAGAGUGGUACUCAGUGAUAUGUUGUGUUGGACAUAGUGAAUUUCUUUGCCAAAUGUUUUGCAGUUUUACUUUAGUGUCUUAUUGCAAACAGAAUGCAUGUUUUGUAAUGUUUUUUAUUCUGUACAUGUUUCCUUCUUUUCACUCUGUCAUUUAGGUUAGUAUUAUGGAGUAAGUACAAUGUUGUUGAUCCAUCCUCAGUUCAUCCAAUCACAGCCAUUAAACUAUGUAACUGUUUUAAAGUCACCAUUGGCCUUAUGGUGAAAUCAGUGGAGGCUGCUGAGGGGAAGACAACUCAUAUUAAUGUCUGGAACGGAGCAAAUGGAAUGGAAUCAAACACAUGGAAAACAUGUUGGAUGUAUUUGGUACCAUUCCACCUGUUCUGCUCCAGCCAUUACCACAAGUACUUUCUCCCCAAUUAAGGUGCCACCAACCUCCUGUGGGUGAAAUCCCUGUGCAGUGUUUUUCCUCUCCGGCGACUGAGUUAGGAAGGAUGCCUGUAUCUUUGUAGUGAUUGGGUGUAUUGAUAAACCAUCCAAAGUGUAAUUAAUAAACUCAUUACGCUCA